GAUGAACGCUAGCGGCAGGCUUAAUACAUGCAAGUCGAGGGGCAGCAGCUCUGUAGCAAUACAGAGGCUGGCGACCGGCAAACGGGUGCGGAACACGUACACAACCUUCCUUUAAGUGGGGAAUAGCCCGGGGAAACCCGGAUUAAUACCCCGUAACAUUAUGAAGUGGCAUCACUUUAUAAUUAUAGCUCAGGCGCUUAAUGAUGGGUGUGCGGCUGAUUAGAUAGUUGGCGGGGUAACGGCCCACCAAGUCUGCGAUCAGUAACUGGUGUGAGAGCACGACCAGUCACACGGGCACUGAGAC
rnacentral:rRNA from 1 species